CGUAUAGCCCCGAAGAUUCAAGUCCUCUGUUUAUCCAUAGAAGCAGGUGCAGCAUGGGCAGCUGCAGUGAAACUGUCUCCCUGCUGCACUGCCUUACUCCUCAUCUGGAGAGAACACCUCCAGCAAUGAGAGGGAAGAUCAGUCUCCAUGCCCAUUCAUUCUCUGGCCUCU
rnacentral:sRNA from 1 species